rnacentral:rRNA from 1 species
AUCACUAAGCGGAGGAAAAGAAACUAACAAGGAUUCCUUUAGUAACGGCGAGUGAAGCAGGAAGAGUCCAGCACCGAAUCCCCUACCUGUUGGGUAGUGGGAACUGUGGUGUUUAGGACAGCCUCUGGGGCAGUGUAUGGACGUCCAAGUCCUCCUGAUCGGGGCCUUUCCCAUAGCGGGUGUCAGGCCUCUACGGCGUCCGUCGCUGUCUCUCUGAGCGUCCUUGGAGUCGGGUUGUUUGGGAAUGCAGCCCAAAGUGGGUGGUAAACUCCAUCUAAGACUAAAUAUUGACACGAGACCGAUAGCGGACAAGUACCGUGAGGGAAAGUU